rnacentral:rRNA from 1 species
GACGAACCGAGCGAACGUUGUUCGGAAUCACUGGGCUUAAAGGGUGCGUAGGCGGUCUGCCAAGUUUGAGGUGAAAUCCUCCGGCUCAACCGGGGAAGUGCCUUGAAUACUGGCGGUCUGGAGGGAGGUAGGGGCGUGCGGAACUAACGGUGGAGCGGUGAAAUGUGUUGAUAUCGUUAGGAACUCCGGUGGCGAAGGCGGCACGCUAGACCUCUUCUGACGCUGAGGCACGAAAGCCAGGGGAGCGAACGGG